rnacentral:SRP_RNA from 1 species
GCCAACCGGGUGUCUGCACUGAGUUCGGCAUCAAUAUGGUAACUUUCUGGGAGCAGGGGGCCGCCAGGUUGCCUAAGGGUGAGUGAACUGGCCCAGAUCAGAGAGGGAGCAGGUCAGAACUCCCGCACUGACCGGUAAUGUGACUGUGCCUGGGC